rnacentral:rRNA from 1 species
AUGGCUUUAGUGGCGGACUGGUGAGUAACGCGUGAGCAAUCUGCCUUAAGGAGAGGGAUAACACAGAGAAAUUUGUGCUAAUACCUCAUAAUGUAUUUGGAGGGCAUCCUCUGGGUACCAAAGUUUUUUCGCCUUAAGAUGAGCUCGCGUCCGAUUAGCUAGUUGGUGAGAUAACAGCCCACCAAGGCGACGAUCGGUAGCCGACCUGAGAGGGUGAUCGGCCACAUUGGAACUGAGACACGGUCCAGACUCCUACGGGAGGCAGCAGUGGGGAAUAUUGGGCAAUGGGCGAAAGCCUGACCCAGCAACGCCGCGUGAGGGAAGAAGGGUUUCGGCUCGUAAACCUCUGUCCUAUGGGACGAAGAAGUGACGGUACCAUAGGAGGAAGCCCCGGCUAACUACGUGCCAGCAGCCGCGGUAAUACGUAGGGGGCGAGCGUUGUCCGGAAUGAUUGGGCGUAAAGGGCGCGUAGGCGGCCUGUUAAGUCUGGAGUGAAAGUCCCGCUUUCAAGGUGGGAAUUGCUUUGGAUACUGAUGGGCUCGAGUGCAGGAGAGGAAAGCGGAAUUACCGGUGUAGCGGUGAAAUGCGUAGAUAUUAGGAGGAACACCGGUGGCGAAGGCGGCUUUCUGGACAGUAACUGACGCUGAGGCGCGAAAGCGUGGGGAGCAAACAGGAUUAGAUACCCUGGUAGUCCACGCUGUAAACGAUGAAUACUAGGUGUAGGGGGUAUAAACUCCCUCUGUGCCGCAGUUAACACAAUAAGUAUUCCACCUGGGGAGUACGACCGCAAGGUUGAAACUCAAAGGAAUUGACGGGGACCCGCACAAGCAGUGGAGUAUGUGGUUUAAUUCGAAGCAACGCGAAGAACCUUACCAAGGCUUGACAUAAUACUGAAUACCGUGGAAACAUGGUAGGCCUUCGGGACAGUAUUACAGGUGGUGCAUGGUUGUCGUCAGCUCGUGUCGUGAGAUGUUGGGUUAAGUCCCGCAACGAGCGCAACCCUUGUCAUUAGUUGCCAGCAUUAAGUUGGGCACUCUAGUGAGACUGCCGGUGAGAAAUCGGAGGAAGGUGGGGACGACGUCAAAUCAUCAUGCCCUUUAUGUCUUGGGCUACACACGUACUACAAUGGCUAUUACAGAAGGCAGCUAAGGAGUAAUCCGGAGCGAAUCCCAAAAGAUAGUCUCAGUUCGGAUUGUGGGCUGCAACCCGCCCACAUGAAGUCGGAAUUGCUAGUAAUUGCAGGUCAGCAUACUGCAGUGAAUACGUUCCCGGGUCUUGCACACACCGCCCGUCA